GAUGAACGCUGGCGGCGUGCCUAAUACAUGCAAGUCGAGCGAACGGACGAGAAGCUUGCUUCUCUGAUGUUAGCGGCGGACGGGUGAGUAACACGUGGAUAACCUACCUAUAAGACUUGGAUAACUUCGGGAAACCGGAGCUAAUACCGGAUAAUAUUUUGAACCGCAUGGUUCAAAAGUUAAAGACGGUCUUGCUGUCACUUAUAGAUUGAUCCGCGCUGCAUUAGCUAGUUGGUAAGGUAACGGGUUACCAAGGCAACGAUGCAUAUCCGACAUGAGAGGGUGAUAGGCCAAACGGGAACUGAGACACGGUCAAGACUACUACGGGAGGCAGCAGUAGGGAAUCUUCCGCAAUGGGCGAAAGCAUGACGGAGCAACGCCGCGUGAGUGAUGAAGGACUUAGGAUCGUAAAACUCUGUUAUUAGGGAAGAAAAUAUGUGUAAGUAACUGUGCACAUCUUGACGGUACCUAAUCAGAAAGCCACGGCUAACUACGUG
rnacentral:rRNA from 1 species